GAAAACGGAAAUUUCUUGGAAAAUCCCGUAUAUAACCUUCUUUCCGUCACGUCUCCGUUCUCUCUCUCCUCUCUCCCUCCUCUCUCUCUCUCUCCACCUGAAAACUUGAUGAUCUGAAGUUUUUGAUUCCCACCGACUGGACUCCUCCGCUCUGCCAUGGCGGUCCAGUUCAAAUUCAGAAGCUCCGUCAACUUUGAAUCCGUCGCCAUCGACGGCCGCGCCUCCAUCUCCGUUCGCGAUCUCAAAUCCAAGAUAAUUCGCCACAAGAACCUCAACCUCUGCCAAGACUCCGAACUCGUCUUCUCUGACGCCGUAACCGGUCAAGAGUACAACGACGAGAGCAUUCAAAUUCCUUGCGGUUCUAGCGUGGUAAUUAAGCGAGUUCCUGCAGGAUCAGUACAUGUGAAUCAGCCUCACUUCAAUUCAUGUCAGAAUCUUCAUAGCAAGGACUCUGUGGAUGCUAAAUCACCCGCUGCACCGAAUGCUAAGACUGUUGACUUUGAUGACUUUGGGGUUGACUUGUAUCCCAUUCCUAAAGAAAUCGUUUUCAGUUCUGAUUUGGAUACGGACAAGGAUAACUUCAUCUAUGAUUAUCAACCAAAUACCGAUAACGGCAUCAAAAGAUAUUCGGAGCCCGCUAUGAGACGAUGCUUGAAACUUGAAGCAAGUAGCAUUAGUGAUGCUUUUCCAGGAGUUCAUGUGCAUAGUGGAGUUGAACAAAUCAUAUUGCCGACAAAAUCAAAGCCUGAAGAAGAAGACAUGAAUGUGGAAAGGGUGGGCAGUGCGACUGCCCUAGAUACACAGCAUGCUAAUUUGUCAUCAGAGCUGAAAUGCUCUCUAUGCAACGCAUUUUUCAAGGAGGCCGUAAUGAUACCAUGCUGCCAGCACAGUUUUUGUGAGAAAUGCAUUUCUCAAGUGUUGCGAGAGAAGACCAGAUGUCCCAAGUGUCUUUUGACCAAAUGCAGAGUAGAAGAUUUGCUGCCAAAUGUUUCUCUGAGGCAAGCAAUUGAGCAUUUCCUAGAAUCUCAAAAUUUAAUCACUGCUCCAGAUAAUGAUUGUUGCCAGUAUGCUCCAGAUGGAGAAUCUGGAAUUCAGGCCAAAGAUGUGUCUCGGGGCGGUAAUAUUUUACAAAGAGAGGCAGAGGCGCCUCAUUCUCCUGAAACAGGGACAGGUUCUAAUCAUUUAUUUGCAGAAUCUGCUUUUAACCCUCCUUUCCAAAAAGAUGUUAAACCAGCAAUCACAAAAAGGAGGCCACCUUGGGUUUCUUCAGAAGGUGGUGACAAGAGCUUCUCAGAGACUGGAAAGCACAGAAAGGGGGAACGUACCUGUUACAGGUGUGGUUCGCCAGACCAUUUCAUCAGAGACUGUCCAGUUGCUUCAAGCCCACAUCCUAUGCUUCAUGCAGGAAAUGCAAUCUUUCCAGGAGCUGUGCCAGGCUAUGUACCACCAUACUGGAAUGGGGCUCCCUCACCUCAUGCCAUGCCCUUUGGAAAUCCAUAUGGAAAUCAUGCGAGGAUGGCUUUUGGUACAAAUAUGGUCCCUCCUGGUCCUUAUGCUGUUCCUGCAUACAUGCCAUCUAUGUAUAACUCAUUCCCUUCCUUUGGUGGAUAUAUGAGGAUGGGAGGUGUUGCUCCUCUUCCAGUGACUGGUGAAGACUGGCAUUUAAGUCGUACGGAAUCCGUGGAUCUUCAUGGUCGGGGAAAGAGAAGAAAAGUUUCAAAUGAGAAUUUGAGGAGAGAACAAUCUCAUGAUGGUGAAGAUGACGAAGACCGUGAUUUAAACGAGAGACAUUACUAUAAUGGGACGGAAAAAAUACAUGACCACAGAUCUCGUAUAAACAGGGAAAUGAGCAUAAGUUACUCUGAGGAUGGCUCUACUAAAGGGUCCCAGAGGCAAUUUCGGCAUCACAAUCACACAGAUGAAGACAGGCUUGCAGUUCAAGGUCAGCAGAAGAGUUCCCGUUUGGUGGUUGAUGGUCAAGAUCAGAAGCAGUAUCAUCGCACGGAAGGAUCAAGUUCAGAAUUAGACGAUGUGCCAAGUAGCUCCGGUUGCCACAGUGAAGAGAGACAGAAGCACCACCAUAGAAGCUCCAGAAAGCAUAAGGAUCAAAGAGAGCAGUGUGGCAGUGAUUCCAGUCAGAGUCAUCAUCGAUAUACCAAAGACAAUAACAGAAACAGGAUCGAGCAUGAAUCCAAAAGGCACAAUCAGAAAUAUCGCAGCCACUCAGGAUAUGGUAUUGAUCAAAGUGGUUCCAGUGAUAAGAAGUUGCAGAAAGAGAGCAGUCACAGUUCUAGACAUUCUAAGCUCAGUGGAAAGAGUAAUGUCGAUGAGCGGAGUCAUGACAGGUGGAAGAUGGUUAGUGGGUCAGAUGAAGAUUGUGGAGAAGGUUAUCCGUAUUCUAGACAGAAAAGAAAACACUAGAAAACAUCAGGACUGAUUUGUGAGGUAAAUUGUGUAGAUGAAGUCGCAUUUCUAAACUUUGAUGUUCUAUAUGGUACUUUUUCGUUUCAGUUAGAUUGUAUUAAUGUUUGUCAUUAGCUCCGUUUAUGUCUUGAUAAAACCUGCCUAUACUUGUUGAAAGCAACAUGUUUAGCGCACAGUAAUCUCGGACUUGUGCAGGAUACUUGAUCUAAUGCCGAUUCUCUGUUGAUUUUAUUGAAACAGAUCUGAUUGACUUGGCUUUUGGACAGUAACUAUUUGUAAAUAUCUGCUAACCAACCUCUUCACUUAUUCUAGCUUGGUCAUAACAAAGGGAGAGGCUAGCAUUCAAAAGUUUUAAGAAGAGCAGCAAUUGUUGAUGUAAUCAUAGGGCCUUAUGCUUUUCUUUCGUCCCGAAACUUACUUUCGCAGACAUGUUAAAGCCAGCGAAGGUAUGUUCUCUUUCAGAGGGAAAAAGGUACAGAAACAGAAGCCAUGAAACGAGGGGGAGAAGCAAAAAACUGACUCCACAAAUCUUCAACGUUUCGGAGCUGCAAAAUUUGGUUCGCCAGUAUAUGUUUAUCGCUUUUAUGUUAUAUCCUAGUUACCCAGCUUCUUGCACUCCACUUUGCAUUAGUAAAAAGAUUAUAAUACACUGUUUAGAGAUUUCGUGUUUAAUUUAGUGCACUUAUAAUCUUAAAAACCGAAGAUUACACUGCAUAUUUUGUAUAAUGUAUAUUGAUAGUAAGAAUUUCAUGUUUUAGCGUCGGUUUCUCGGCGUGGUAAAGACCAAUUUGUAGGUAAAUGGAUCGUACGUGCCAGAUUCCGAUGCUAAAGGUCGGAUAUCUUGCUUUUCUUCCCCAGGAAGAUGCAAUUGUACCCAAUGCAAUUGCAACCCAACAGUCCAACGCAGCAAUACUUACCGACUAUUGCAAAAUUAAGAAGCUGCAAAGAAAAAUAUUUGACAUGUAAUGCAAGUUUCCAACAAACUUAUUGGGUCGAUUAAGGGCUCGAUCGGUUAAGGGCGAUGGAUAAUACGAUGGACAAUAUCAACCAUCCCAAUAUGAAGUACCCCACCAACCUCGUCGGCCCUGGAUCCUCUGGUUCCUGCAAUAAGAAGUGGUCGCAGAGAUUAUUUCGA